rnacentral:tRNA from 2 species
GCGAGGGUAGCCAAGUGGCCAACGGCGGCGGGCUUAAGACCCGCUCUCGAAGGAGUCCGUGGGUUCGAAUCCCAUCCCUCGCA